rnacentral:rRNA from 1 species
UACGGGGGGGGCAAGCGUUGUUCGGAAUUACUGGGCGUAAAGGGCUCGUAGGCGGCCAACUAAGUCAGACGUGAAAUCCCUCGGCUUAACCGGGGAACUGCAUCUGAUACUGGAUGGCUUGAGAUUGGGAGAGGGAUGCGGAAUUCCAGGUGUAGCGGUGAAAUGCGUAGAUAUCUGGAGGAACACCGGUGGCGAAGGCGGCAUCCUGGACCAACACUGACGCUGAGGAGCGAAAGCCAGGGAGCAAACGGG